rnacentral:rRNA from 1 species
AUAUCAAUAAGCGGAGGAAAAGAAACUAACCAGGAUUCCCCUAGUAACUGCGAGUGAACCGGGACUAGCCCAACUUGAAAAUCCUUUCGAGGAAUUGUAGUCUAUAGAAGCGUCCUCAGCGAUGGCUCGAUCCCAAAUCCGAUGGAAAUCGGUGUCAGAGAGGGUGAAAACCCCGUCGGAUCGAUGUCCGUCCCUCCACGAGGUGCUUUCCACGAGUCGGGUUGCUUGGGAAUGCAGCCCAAAAUGGGAGGUAAAUCCCUUCCAAGGCUAGAUACUGGCGAGAGACCGAUAGCGCACAAGUA